rnacentral:misc_RNA from 1 species
AUAGUAUGCACUUUAUUGUUCCGUUAUUGUGAUUGAAAUGGCUCAAAUUUUUUCUUCGAUGCAUUCUAACGAGAUAUUGUUUAGACAUUUUCAAAAAAUCUCCUUUCGUUCGGAAAACUUCAAUUGCCAAGAAAAAAUAUUAUUGAAAACUGGAGAACUAUCUCAACAGGAAAACCAAAACAUCAGUGCUGCCACGAUGAAAGUGCAGACCGAUUCGUUUAGUUCGGAAAAGAAAGCUUCAAGCGCACAACAACAAAGACAAACAAUAACGUCCUCAGGAAUGUUCAACCAAGAAAAACAUAUAGCUCAGUCAUCACAAUCGAACUUUACGUUCACUAAAAAAGGCAUUUGUACGAGUUCAAAAGCCGUGUCAUCUGCUACUUCACAAUCUUCUCACAACGGGUCCUCUUCUGGUGGCAGUGGUUCAUCGCCUCCAUCGACACACGUGAUUAGAAGUGUUGACGAUCUGUUAAACACUAAUUUUGAUGAUCUAGACCAGAUGCGAGAAAUAGCCAACACUCAAGAUGUGGAAAACGCCAUAAAAAAGUAUUCGCUGUACCUGGAAAACGCUGUAAAGGGACUGAUGAGUGGAAAAUAUGCAGAUGCCAAAGGCCCGAUAAUGCUCAACAAAAUGUUCGAUAUGAUUUGCAAGGCGUGGGCCGUGCCGACCUACGAGCUUGGGUACGCGUUAUGUAACACAUUCCGGGAUUGUGGUGGUAUGGAUUUGUUGAUCAACAAUUGUGUGUCUAAAGACCAAAAACUCCAGUUCUCCAGUGCCAGAUUACUGGAACAAUGUUUGACUACUGAAAAUCGCUCAUACGUAGUGGAAAACGGGCUGGAAAAAGUCGUACAUGUAGUGUGUGCAUACAAGAGUCAAGUAAGCUCGGCCGAUCAAUCUAAAGUCAGUACUGGAAUUCUUGAGCACCUAUUUAAACACAGUGAAAUGACAUGCAGCGAUGUUAUCAAACUCGGUGGCUUGGACGUAUUGCUGUACGAGUGUCGCAGACGAGACAUCGCUACCCUGAGACACUGUGCCGGUGCUCUAGCCAACCUUUCGCUAUAUGGAGGUGCUGAGAAUCAAGAACUGAUGAUCAAACGUAACGUGCCUACAUGGUUGUUCACGUUGGCGUUCAAUACGGACGAUAACAUCAAGUAUUACGCGUUUUUGGCUAUAGCUGUUUUGGUAGCCAACAAAGAAAUUGAAGCGGCCGUGCUCAAGUCUGAAACUCUGGACCUAAUCGACCCGUUCGUCACCACCCACACACCGUCGGAAUUCGCCAAGUCGAAUCUAGCCCACGCCCACGGCCAGAGUCACCAUUGGCUAGAGAGGUUGGUCCCUGUUUUGAGCUCAAUCCGGGAGGAAGCAUGCAACUUGGCCGCUUUCCACUUUUGCAUGGAGGCUGGCAUCAAAAAGCAACAAGGCAAGACCAGUAUAUUUAACGUGAUUAAUGCUGUUGAACCACUGAAAAAAGUGGCCAGUUGUCCUAACGCCAUAGCAUCCAAAUUUGCUGCCCAAGCACUGCGACUGAUCGGCGAAGAAGUACCGCAUAAACUCAGUCAAAAAGUACCAUUGUGGUCACCCGAAGACGUUCAAGAAUGGGUCAGACAGAUCGGAUUCAGCGAAUGCUCUAAAAACUUCGUGGAUAGCCGAGUAGAUGGUGACCUGUUGUUGCAGUUGACCGAGCAAAAUUUGAGGGACGACAUCGGAAUACAUAACGGAAUCAUGCGAAGAAGGUUUAUGAGAGAAAUACACAAUUUGAAACGAUUGGCGGAUUACAGUAGUAGAGACACAACAAAUUUGAACUCGUUCCUCCAGUCCAUAGGUCCAGAGUUCUCCGUGUACACUUAUUCUAUGUUAAAUGCUGGCGUUGAUAGAGAUUCCAUAAGAUUCUUAUCAGAAGACCAGCUCAUACAAGAGUGUGGAAUAUCAAAUAGCAUUCACCGGUAUAGAAUACUAGACUCGAUAAGAGACAUGGAGACGUUAAUAGAUACAUCCUCUUACGAAGAAAACAUGAAUAAGAACUUAGACGUAUUUAUCAGUUACAGAAGAUCGACUGGAUCUCAAUUAGCUAGUUUACUCAAAGUACAUCUACAACUUCGAGGAUACUCAGUAUUCAUCGACGUCGAACGUCUGGAAGCCGGCAAGUUCGACAACAAUCUAUUGCAGAGUAUUAAGCAGGCGAAAAACUUCAUAUUAGUACUGACACCAAAGUCUUUGGAUAGAUGUAUAGGCGAUAACGAAUGCAAAGACUGGGUGCACAAGGAAAUUGUGGCUGCUAUACAGGACCAGUGCAACAUCAUUCCGAUCAUGGACAACUUCGCAUGGCCUGAACCAGAAACCUUGCCGGAGGACAUGCAAAACGUGUGGAAGUUCAACGGCGUGCGAUGGAUACACGACUACCAGGAUGCGUGCGUGGAGAAGGUGGAACGGUUCAUGCGCGGUGAGCUGAAUGGGAUCCGGGAUGGUGCCAGUUCGGGACUGUCGCUGAAUCGAUCCGGCGGCGUCGGCGGUGGCAUCGGCACAUCCACCAUCAAGAGUGACCCGUCGGCGCCGAAUACGCCGCUGACCGUGGGCAGAUCACCGCCAACAUACCAGCGGACUCAGUCUAACGACAGUGAACGCGACUUGACCGGUAGCAAAGAUUGACUAGCGGGGAACACUUCCAGGUAUGGGACAGUGACCAACGUUUUGCUUUCCCGCCCGAACCGGUUACUACGUUUUGUGUCCGUCUGCUUGUUGUCGUCCACCCUGCAGCGGCCUCCGAUGACUUCACGGUUAGAUACCGGAAGUGUUCGAGAUUACCUGCUUGGAGGCCACCAAUGAGUCCAAAUGGUCGUGGAAAGUGUCGAAAACGAGCCAAAAGCGUGGAAGGUCUAUUGGAGACCACCGUCGAAUUGGAUUCACAAGUACAGGUACAGGCUCAAAUGAAAAAGGCAAAAAGCCUGGAAGAGUACUUGGACACGUGCGAAGAAGACGUCGAAGACAGCAAUAGCGUCUCGGCGUCGGUCAGCGACAGUGUAAAGAAGAAAAACUUUGUCGAUAAGUGUAUAAACAAAAUGAAAUCUUUUAUAACGACCACCAAAAAGACUUCAACGGACUCGAAAUAAUGAAUAGAUUUAUUGUAUUAUAGUGUAUACAUUUUUUUUAUGUACCUAUAUUAUAUAAUUUUCGUUUUUAAAUUUUUUUAAAUCUUAUGUUGACUCAAUAUUUAUAUAUUUUUGUAAACCUAUA